AAUUUUAACCAAUUUGUCAAUGAACAUACUUUAGGUCAGCAUUAUCUUGUGUUAUAAUGCUGUAGAUGAAAUGCAGCGCUCUGAUUGGUUGACAGUGAGUCACGUGGUGCACAUCAUUGAGUGAUGUACAGUUCUUGUUCCAUAUCACUGCGCACUAAGAGUAACGGUUUGACCGACCGUUAGUAUCAGCAAUGAGGUACUCGAGGCAGUACUUUAUGUACAGCCUCUUGUACCUUAUUGCUUAAUAAACGUCACGAAUGAAUUUGAAUCGCCUCCUUCCUUAUAAUGAACUAUGACACUAAUAGACGAAAUAUUUCCCUCAUACGGCACACAAAUGAACCCGUGACUUAACGUUAAACUACGAUAACAUAAAGGCUAACGCAGACUGUAUCCAUAUUAACUGAAAAGUUAGUUAGCUAACCAAGUUAGUUACCAAACUGACCAGUUCAUGCCAGUUCAGCACAUAACUUAAUACCGUUACAUAUUUGUCAUACUAAUGUGCUGCCAGCUUAGCGGCUAUGCUAUUGUUAGCCACGUUUUGCCGUUGUCAUACACAGGGAAUAUUUCACUCUUUCUUUAGUGUACACAUACUGCACGGGUUACAAACGGACGACAACGCCGUUUCACAACUAUAUAACUGUCAUUACACCAUCCAGAAUAUUAAAUCUAUAGUUGUCCUUUAAGAGCACUCGUAUCAUCAGCGAGAUACUAUAGUAUAAGCUGAUAAAUUGACAACAAGAUAUGGUCAAUACACGUGGUUAAUUUUUUGAAAUGUGAAAAGUUGAUUAAGUAAUGUUUUCCUAAGGCAUGAUAUGAAUUCACUAAUGAUUUUUUAGUACAUUAUAUGAGACUAAUUCGUGACACUAUUACCUUGUUAAAUCUAGUUUUGGAAAUAGCAACAUUAAGCUCCUACGCGGUGUAUCAGGCAAACACUUACGUCAGCAGCCAUUAUAUCCGACAUCAUCGGAGCGCUUUUGAACUCAUCACUGUCAAAAUCACUGUCAAAAAAACAUAUAAAAAAUUUGCGGCCAAAAGUCCGUCUCGCGCAAGCAAAAGUUGGUGAUUUGCCUCAGUCUUGUGAAAGCUGACAGAGAGAAUGGCCUUAAAGACGCUUUUGACGACGAAGCCUCCAACACCCUAUUUUCGCCCCCCGCCAAUCCACCUAUGUGUGGUGUUGGUGGUGGAGAAGCCCAGGGUGGUGGCCUGGGAGUUUGACUCAAAUGGUGCGAGACCAGCACAGACAAAAAUGAAUAUUCUGGCCGCACUAACCGAUGGAGAUUCAGUGGCCAAAGUCACUGUAUUCGAGGAGUUUGGCAAAAGACUUAAGGAGGGUGGGAGUUAUAAUGUAAAGAGGGCAGUCCCCCCCAUAUCAAUUAAAUAUAACUAAGGACACGCUGUUCUUUAGGAGCGCUCCUAUAGCGCUCAGCGCAGCGCUCAAACGGGAAGCAGAGCUUCUAAUACACCCCCCCUCUCCACUGACUCCGCUGAGCACCUGCCGGGAAGCCAGGGGCCUGAUAACCGUGGAGGGCGAGGUGGUCGAGCUGUCAGCUUUAAAAGAAAUCACGACAGGGAGAGACGUCGUUCCAUUGCGCAACGUCACGAUGCAGCAGGGGGAAUCACAGAUGUCGCUGUGUUUCUGGAGGGAGGCGGCCGUAUGGCAGCUGCAGGUGGGGCCCACAUUAAAGUUUCCCAUCUUAAAGCUGAGAGUUUAAACUAUGGGCUCAGACUCCAGUCCACAAACUUUUCCACCAUCGAGGAGGUACGCUCAGAGGACAUCGUGGGGGCACUCGGGGUGAUAGAGAUUGAGGGAGAUCCGGGGAACCUCAACCUUCUCCUAGAAGACGGCCGUACCGUCUUAAUUGAGGAGAGAUUGUGGGAGCCAAUCGAACUUGUUAUGAUCGAACCCGUAAUAAAAGUUCAAAUAAAAAUGACAGGAAACAAGGUGCAGGCGAUGGAAGUGGCGAAAAAUUUAAAUUUCUACUGUUAUAAAAUGUAUAUGUUUAUAAGAUUGUGUUCAUAAUGUAUCAGUUAUGUGUUCAUUUUGUUUUGACUUGUUACUUAUGUUCAAUUGUUUUUUACGCUUGUUUAUAAUAAUAAUAAUAAUAAUUUGUU
ensembl:lncRNA